GAUGAACGCUGACAGCAUGCUUAACACAUGCAAGUCAACUGUGGCGGACGGGUGAGUAACGCGUAAAGAACUUGCCUCACAGUUAGGGACAACAUUUGGAAACGAAUGCUAAUACCUGAUACUGUGAGAGGGCUUUGCGUCCCAUUAGCUAGUUGGAGAGGUAACGGCUCACCAAGGCGAUGAUGGGUAGCCGGCCUGAGAGGGUGAUCGGCCACAAGGGGACUGGGACACAGGCAUUAGGCCUACUGGAGGCAGCAGUGGGGAAUAUUGGAAAAAUGACCAAAGUCUGAUCCAGCAAUUCGGGGUGCACGAUGAAGUUUUCGGAAUGAAAAGUGCUUGCAGUUGGGAAGCGGUACCAACAGAAGAAGUAACGGCUAAAUACGUGCCAGCAGCCGCGGUAAUUC
rnacentral:rRNA from 1 species